UACAGAGGUCUCAAGCGUUGUUCGGGAUUCAUUGGGCGUAAAGGGUGCGUAGGUGGCGCCGUAAGUCGGGUGUGAAAUUUCGGAGCUUAACUCCGAAACUGCAUUCGAUACUGCGGUGCUUGAGGACUGGAGAGGAGACUGGAAUUCAUGGUGUAGCAGUGAAAUGCGUAGAGAUCAUGAGGAAGACCAGUGGCGAAGGCGGGUCUCUGGUCUGUAACUGACGCUGGAGGAGCGAAAGCGUGGGGAGCAAACAGG
rnacentral:rRNA from 1 species